GACGAACGCUGGCGGCGUGCCUAAUACAUGCAAGUCGAACGAACUCUGGUAUUGAUUGGUGCUUGCAUCAUGAUUUACAUUUGAGUGAGUGGCGAACUGGUGAGUAACACGUGGGAAACCUGCCCAGAAGCGGGGGAUAACACCUGGAAACAGAUGCUAAUACCGCAUAACAACUUGGACCGCAUGGUCCGAGUUUGAAAGAUGGCUUCGGCUAUCACUUUUGGAUGGUCCCGCGGCGUAUUAGCUAGAUGGUGGGGUAACGGCUCACCAUGGCAAUGAUACGUAGCCGACCUGAGAGGGUAAUCGGCCACAUUGGGACUGAGACACGGCCCAAACUCCUACGGGAGGCAGCAGUAGGGAAUCUUCCACAAUGGACGAAAGUCUGAUGGAGCAACGCCGCGUGAGUGAAGAAGGGUUUCGGCUCGUAAAACUCUGUUGUUAAAGAAGAACAUAUCUGAGAGUAACUGUUCAGGUAUUGACGGUAUUUAACCAGAAAGCCACGGCUAACUACGUGCCAGCAGCCGCGGUAAUACGUAGGUGGCAAGCGUUGUCCGGAUUUAUUGGGCGUAAAGCGAGCGCAGGCGGUUUUUUAAGUCUGAUGUGAAAGCCUUCGGCUCAACCGAAGAAGUGCAUCGGAAACUGGGAAACUUGAGUGCAGAAGAGGACAGUGGAACUCCAUGUGUAGCGGUGAAAUGCGUAGAUAUAUGGAAGAACACCAGUGGCGAAGGCGGCUGUCUGGUCUGUAACUGACGCUGAGGCUCAAAAGUAUGGGUAGCAAACAGGAUUAGAUACCCUGGUAGUCCAUACCGUAAACGAUGAAUGCUAAGUGUUGGAGGGUUUCCGCCCUUCAGUGCUGCAGCUAACGCAUUAAGCAUUCCGCCUGGGGAGUACGGCCGCAAGGCUGAAACUCAAAGGAAUUGACGGGGGCCCGCACAAGCGGUGGAGCAUGUGGUUUAAUUCGAAGCUACGCGAAGAACCUUACCAGGUCUUGACAUACUAUGCAAAUCUAAGAGAUUAGACGUUCCCUUCGGGGACAUGGAUACAGGUGGUGCAUGGUUGUCGUCAGCUCGUGUCGUGAGAUGUUGGGUUAAGUCCCGCAACGAGCGCAACCCUUAUUAUCAGUUGCCAGCAUUAAGUUGGGCACUCUGGUGAGACUGCCGGUGACAAACCGGAGGAAGGUGGGGAUGACGUCAAAUCAUCAUGCCCCUUAUGACCUGGGCUACACACGUGCUACAAUGGAUGGUACAACGAGUUGCGAACUCGCGAGAGUAAGCUAAUCUCUUAAAGCCAUUCUCAGUUCGGAUUGUAGGCUGCAACUCGCCUACAUGAAGUCGGAAUCGCUAGUAAUCGCGGAUCAGCAUGCCGCGGUGAAUACGUUCCCGGGCCUUGUACACACCGCCCGUCGCACCAUGAGAGUUUGUAACACCCAAAGUCGGUGGGGUAACCUUUUAGGAACCAGCCGCCUAAGGUGGGACAGAUGAUUAGGGUG
rnacentral:rRNA from 1 species